CCAGCAUCCAAAUCGCACUCCUUCCUCGUAGAGCUCCCGUUCGUCGGUAUCCGCGGGUGCCCGCGGAUUUCCGCCAUACACUGCUUCGCCCACAAAAUCCGUGAAGUAUAGGGAGUAACAUACGUGUGCCAUCCAACAGAAGAGAUUCGUCAAACAUACCUGGCGAUCGAAGAUAUUUGACUUAUAUACCUGACGAAGACUAUGUGGCAUAUAGACGAUUGACAAAAGAUACUCCUUUAGGGUUGCUCUAGGAUUUGUUUCAUUCUCGAAGCCAUAGUUGACGUGACUACCUUUGAAAACUGGCUCUUCAGAAUGAUCGAAGAGUUGCGGGUCGGGGGCAAAUUCCUUGAUUGAUAAUUCGAGAAUGAAAUAUACUAAGACUCGCAUCAAAUCAAAUUUAUAGAAAAUAUCUGAGUACCUUACCGGGUAUAGUGACAUCGAGGAGAUAAGCUCUCGCGGGACUUUGACAAGCAUCAGCGUCAAAGUCGAGUAGCACCGUGCCG